CUGGCUUGGGUCAAAGAUUAGAUCCAAGCUGAUCCCAGGGUGGGUCAAUCUAUGUUCAAGGAGAAGGGAAAGCCACAAGGCCUCCAGGAGACUAUGGGAGCCAGCUGAGAGAGUCCCCACUGAUGUCUCUGAGCAAGAACUUCGGGCCUCCCUUCCAAGGACCAGGGUUCCCCAGAGAAGACUGAAGUUCAAGGAUGUCAAAUAAUUUGCCCAAAGACACAGCUUAUAAGUGGAAAUCAGCGCUUUAACUCAGAUCUGUGUUUCUCCAAAGGUGGAGCUUAGGACCAGAUUUUUCCCUUCCUCCUGUCUUCAGGUCCAGCCCCCAGGCUGAGGCCUUGGAGAAGAUGCACAUGAAGGUGAUUCUUCCAUCAGCAGCUGACCCCAGGGUCUGUUCAACCACGUGGUUGAUGACUGAGGCUUGGUGGAAACUGACCUCUGCCCUCCUUUCUGGGGAGUCCUCCCUGCUCUGUCGCUGCCGCAGAUGCUAUUGGUGCUCCUCCCAAGCCCCUCACCCUUUCAGAGCCACUGGCCCACCACCAACUUCUAGUAUCUUCAUUUCUUUGCCUGAGGAUUUUCUCUGAUUGCUGGGGAACUCUUUGCUGACUAUGCAGGGAAGACCAGAAGUACCAGGGAAUUAAUAUCUCUUGGGAGCAG
rnacentral:lncRNA from 1 species